UGCAGUCGAGCGAGGCCCGGGGGGCAACCCCUGGAGUCGAGCGGCGGACGGGUGAGUAACACGUGGGUAACCUGCCCGGAAGUGGGGAAUACCUCGGGGAAACUCGAGCUAAUUCCGCAUAACAUCUUCGGGACGAGAGUCCUGUUGAUCAAAGCGGGGUCGCAAGAUCUCGCGCUACCGGAUGGGCCCGCGCCCGAUUAGCUAGUUGGUGAGGUAACGGCUCACCAAGGCAUCGAUCGGUAGCCGGCCUGAGAGGGUGAUCGGCCACACCGGAACUGAGACACGGUCCGGACUCCUACGGGAGGCAGCAGUGGGGAAUCUUGCGCAAUGGGCGAAAGCCUGACGCAGCAACGCCGCGUGGAGGAUGAAGGCCCUUGGGUUGUAAACUCCUGUCGGCUGGGAAGAAAUCGUUCGGGGUUAAUACCCCCGGACGUUGACUGUACCAGCAAAGGAAGCCCCGGCUAACUCUGUGCCAGCAGCCGCGGUAAUACAGAGGGGGCCAGCGUUAUUCGGAAUUAUUGGGCGUAAAGGGCGCGUAGGCGGCCACGCGUGUCUUUCGUGAAAUCCCUCGGCUUAACUGAGGACGUGCGGAAGAAACUGCGAGGCUCGAGUCCGGGAGAGGGGGGUGGAAUUCCCAGUGUAGCGGUGA
rnacentral:rRNA from 1 species